GGAAAUUUAGGGCAGCAAGAGGCAGGAUAAGGAUUUAAGUGUCUUCCAUACUGGUGGAAAGAGCAACGUCAUCCCUCAAAGCAAAGGAACAGACAGCUCCAGCAUCUGCUGUUAUAGCAGAAGUAGGUCCUGUUUACAUCAGGGAAAGAUCCUCAGAUUACAGCAAGAGUUAACCACAGCUUUCCCAAAAGCUAUCAUCUGAGUUGAGUCCAAGCUGGACUCUGGAUGCUGCAAGGCUGUCAUGUUGGGAUGCUGCAAAAGACAUUGUUGCAUCUUCUCACUGUA
rnacentral:lncRNA from 1 species